rnacentral:snoRNA from 1 species
CAUGGAAGCUGAAGAACCAACCAUGCAGACAGAUGAGAAAACACCUUUUGUCUCCAGACAGCGCAAUCCUACACAAACAUGGAAAUCUUUGUCUGAAUUAGGACAGCUGGCUGAGUGUGGUCAUUCCCCUCCAUAUAAC